GCCAGCUUAUCAAUGACAGUAGAAUAUCCCACAGUUAGAAGAGUGUGAUCUCCAGCAAACUGAGCAAAAAACUCAUUAUGGUCCCAUGAGCGUGCAGAUACCUGUGGACAGAACAUAACGUAGCUGUCUCUACUGGUUCUCCCAUGAUUGCUUUCACUGACAUUUCCUCCCCCCACAGACCCAUAGUACAAUAGUAAUAUUUGCACUUGGCAGUCACCACCUGGCAGUGAAGCAAUUCUCAAACUGUUAUUGAAACGACAAUUCCUAUCACUGCAGUUGCAUUCACACCAUAUCAUACAGUCAACAGAAUACUUAGGAGUGGUGAGUGGUGUUGCAACACUGCAGAAGUUAAAUGCCUUUAUUCUCAAGAUACCUAGCAAGGUAGAGAAAUACCUCAGUUGUUUUUUUUAAACACAGCUGAGAAGCAGAAGUCACACACAACAUCUGAGAAAGAGUAACUCUCUCCUGUGAAUUCUGCCACCCAGAAUCUCAGCAAAAUGCACUAUUCCACCGCACCAUCUACUUUCAGCUUCUGAAAAUGAAGAGGAUUUCACUGCAAGUGUGUCUUGAACUCCCAUUAGAUUACCUAAAGAGGUGCUGGAAUUUAUGUCACGAUGCUUUGGAAGAACAGGUUAGGGAUAUAGGAGUAACUUAGGGAUGGCUGAUUGAGGCCACCUGGGGGAUCAGAAGGCUUCUCAAUGUCACUUGCAACACUUAUUUUCCACAGAGCUCAACCAUGUCAAAACACAGCUGUGAAAACUCACCUGAGAGAGAUUGCUGCCACAGGCAUACUCCAAAUUACUGAGGUGGAACUGUAGUACUUUUUCUUCCAGUUCACUGAACUGGAUACCAGACUCCCGAAUAAAGGCUUUAUAGAUCUCUUGUA